CCCUUGUCCCAGCAGCCGCGGUAAUACGAAGGGUGCAAGNNUUACUCGGAAUUACUGGGCGUAAAGCGUGCGUAGGCGGUUCGUUAAGUCUGUCGUGAAAGCCCUGGGCUCAACCUGGGAAUUGCGAUGGAUACUGGCGAGCUAGAGUACGGUAGAGGAUGGUGGAAUUCCCGGUGUAGCGGUGAAAUGCGUAGAGAUGUGGAGGAACACCGAUGGCGAAGGCAGCCCCCUGGGAUGACACUGACGCUCAUGUACGAAAGCGUGGGUAGCAAACAGGAUUAGAUACCCUGGUAGUCCACGCCCUAAACGAUGUCAACUGGUUGUUGGGGGAGUGAAAUCCCUUAGUAACGAAGCUAACGCGUGAAGUUGACCGCCUGGGGAGUACGGUCGCAAGAUUAAAACUCAAAGGAAUUGACGGGGACCCGCACAAGCGGUGGAUGAUGUGGAUUAAUUCGAUGCAACGCGAAAAACCUUACCUACCCUUGACAUGUCCGGAAUCCUGCAGAGAUGCGGGAGUGCCCGAAAGGGAAUCGGAACACAGGUGCUGCAUGGCUGUCGUCAGCUCGUGUCGUGAGAUGUUGGGUUAAGUCCCGCAACGAGCGCAACCCUUAUCAUUAGUUGCUACGCAAGGGCACUCUAAUGAGACUGC
rnacentral:rRNA from 1 species